AGUGAACGCUGGCGGUAGGCCUAACACAUGCAAGUCGAACGGCAGCACAGUAAGAGCUUGCUCUUACGGGUGGCGAGUGGCGGACGGGUGAGGAAUACAUCGGAAUCUACUUUUUCGUGGGGGAUAACGUAGGGAAACUUACGCUAAUACCGCAUACGACCUACGGGUGAAAGCAGGGGAUCUUCGGACCUUGCGCGAUUGAAUGAGCCGAUGUCGGAUUAGCUAGUUGGCGGGGUAAAGGCCCACCAAGGCGACGAUCCGUAGCUGGUCUGAGAGGAUGAUCAGCCACACUGGAACUGAGACACGGUCCAGACUCCUACGGGAGGCAGCAGUGGGGAAUAUUGGACAAUGGGCGCAAGCCUGAUCCAGCCAUACCGCGUGGGUGAAGAAGGCCUUCGGGUUGUAAAGCCCAUUUGUUGGGAAAGAAAAACAGCAGGUUAAUACCCAGCUGUUCUGACGGUACCCAAAGAAUAAGCACCGGCUAACUUCGUG
rnacentral:rRNA from 1 species